rnacentral:rRNA from 1 species
AUUGAACGCUGGCGGCAUGCCUUACACAUGCAAGUCGAACGGCAGCGGGGGAGAAGCUUGCUUUUCCUGCCGGCGAGUGGCGAACGGGUGAGUAAUACAUCGGAACGUGCCCUGUAGUGGGGGAUAACUAGUCGAAAGAUUAGCUAAUACCGCAUACGACCUGAGGGUGAAAGUGGGGGACCGCAAGGCCUCAUGCUAUAGGAGCGGCCGAUGUCUGAUUAGCUAGUUGGUGGGGUAAAGGCCUACCAAGGCGACGAUCAGUAGCUGGUCUGAGAGGACGAUCAGCCACACUGGGACUGAGACACGGCCCAGACUCCUACGGGAGGCAGCAGUGGUGAAUUUUGGACAAUGGGCGAAAGCCUGAUCCAGCAAUGCCGCGUGUGUGAAGAAGGCCUUCGGGUUGUAAAGCACUUUUGUCCGGAAAGAAAUGGCUCUGGUUAAUACCUGGGGUCGAUGACGGUACCGGAAGAAUAAGGACCGGCUAACUACGUGCCAGCAGCCGCAGUAA